UCACAUAUUGGGGCACCAGCGGUGCCAUCUGCACAUAGUCACAUACCACGAGGCUUUGAAAACACUGCCAGGACCUCUCCCUUUUCCUGUGGGUUCUUGAGCUUUUAGGGUUUCAAACUUUUCUGUCCCUCACCUGGAGAAGUAGAAAAUUUCCCCUCCCAGGCCACCAGCAGAGGAAAAGACGAAAUGUGGCCAGACGCACAAUAAAAUGGCCCUCAGCUUACUACAGCUGGACGUAUACAGGGAAGUGUCCAGUCCCUUGUCUUCUAGACACUGAUCUGCUGCCUGCAUGGAAUCCAUGCACCCCUACUUACUGUCUGCACCUCAGUUCACAGCUCUGCUUAGCACAAGGCACUUGGACAGGUUGAUCUCACCGAACCAAAGUGAAUUUGACAAAGCUUGAGCUAAAGAUUCAACUAAAAGCAAGUGAAAAGAUUUGGAGCCAAUGUUGCAGGAGGUACCAUACGAAGCGCCGCCGAGGGAAGCUGGCAACAGGGUUUACCUGUUGGUAGAUGAACGAUUAUUCAUCUGCGCGUUGCGAACGAUGUUAACUCAACAGGAUCAUUGCAAGCAGAGGUGCAAACAGUGCUCGAAAGAGCAGAAAGAAGUUAGGCCAGAAGCUGUCACGCAAAGAAGCCGACAGUGAUCACGUCUCAGGCAGCUGAAAAGGCAAAGGAAUUCCACCCCGAUCUGGAGUGCGUAGAGCGCCUGAAAUAGCAGGGUAGUGUGACUGCAAGGUAUGCUAAAUAGCACUCCGAGAAGAGACUGACAUGGACUCGUGACAGCUGCGCCAGUGACACCCAGCCACACUCAGAGACGCAAAGACCGGUGUGGCUUGGGGCCUCAGGCGCAGAAGCCUCAUACUGUGGAGCAGGACAAAGACACCCUAGCUGCAUGGCCAUGGUGAGGCCACCCUGGGAAGACUGCAUGCAAGGAAAGGCACCGCAAGGUACUAACCAAAGGGAAGUAGUUCAGCGAAGAGCAACACAAGAGAUCGGGGGUGGCAGAGCUGGAGUCGUUAGGAAAGAUUAAAAGAGCCACCUCUAUCUAUUUUCAGUAAGUGGUGACUCUUCAUGGACCCAAAAGCUUCCUUGAUCCUUACACCCGUAUGUAGAGAGGGUGCAAGCAACAAAG